rnacentral:rRNA from 1 species
AGAGUUUGAUCAUGGCUCAGGAUUAACGCUAGCGGCAGGCCUAAUACAUGCAAGUCGAACGGGAUUAGUUGUAGCAAUACGACUAUGAGAGUGGCGCACGGGUGCGUAACACGUAUGCAACCUACCUAUAACUGGGGGAUAGCCUCCCGAAAGGGAGAUUAACACCGCAUAACAUUAUGAAGUGGCAUCACUUUAUAAUUAAAUCUACGGAGGUUAUAGAUGGGCAUGCGUCCGAUUAGCUAGUUGGUGAGGUAACGGCUCACCAAGGCUCCGAUCGGUAGGGGGUCUGAGAGGAUGAUCCCCCACACUGGUACUGAGACACGGACCAGACUCCUACGGGAGGCAGCAGUAAGGAAUAUUGGACAAUGGGCGCAAGCCUGAUCCAGCCAUGCCGCGUGAAGGAUGAAGGCCCUAUGGGUCGUAAACUUCUUUUAUACGGGAAAAAACCCCCCGAUGCGUCGGGGGUUGAUGGUACUGUAAGAAUAAGGGUCGGCUAACUUCGUGCCAGCAGCCGCGGUAAUACGAAGGACCCAAGCGUUAUCCGGAUUUAUUGGGUUUAAAGGGUGCGUAGGCGGAUUGGUAAGUCAGUGGUGAAAGCCCACCGCUUAACGGUGGAAUUGCCAUUGAUACUACCAGUCUUGAGUAUGGUUGAGGUGGGCGGAAUGUGUCAUGUAGCGGUGAAAUGCUUAGAUAUGACACAGAACACCAAUUGCGAAGGC